UCACUUCAGCAGUACAUACAUUACCAUUGGAACCAUACAGAGAAGAUUAGCAUGGACCCUACAUAAGGAUGAUAUGCAAAUCCGUGAAGCUUUCCCUAUUUUU
ensembl:snRNA U6 U6 spliceosomal RNA